UACAGAGGUCCCAAGCGUUGUUCGGAUUCACUGGGCGUAAAGGGUGCGUAGGUGGUCGGGUAAGUCUGAUGUGAAAGCUCUGGGCUCAACCCAGAAAUGGCAUUGGAUACUAUCCGGCUAGAGGAGUGGAGGGGGGACUGGAAUACUUGGUGUAGCAGUGAAAUGCGUAGAGAUCAUGAGGAAGACCAGUGGCGAAGGCGGGUCUCUGGACAGUUCCUGACACUGAGACACGAAGGCCAGGGGAGCAAACGGG
rnacentral:rRNA from 1 species